GCAAACUUGGUCAUUUAGAGGAAGUAAAAGUCGUAACAAGGUCUCCGUUGGUGAACCAGCGGAGGGAUCAUUACCGAGUUUACAACUCCCAAACCCAUGUGAACCUUACCAUUCGUUGCCUCGGCGGACGCCUCCCUCGCGGGGGCGGCCGCCAGAGGACCCAAACCCUCUGAAUUCGUUUCGCGGUAUCUUCUGAGUAACACAAGCAAAAAUAAAAUCAAAACUUUCAACAACGGAUCUCUUGGUUCUGGCAUCGAUGAAGAACGCAGC
rnacentral:misc_RNA from 1 species